UGAUAAGAUACUAUUAUUGAAAUAAUUAGAGCUAAGAUCUAAGACUUCUAACUUCUUCAAUUCUGAUAAUGUUUCAAAACCUGUGUCAUCAAUGAAACCACCAAUUUCAUUGUAUGAUAAAUUAAGACUUCUGAGCUCUUUCAGCUGCUGGAACAUUGAAAGUUUUGCAAACCAAAUAUUUUCAUCAUCAUAAAACGAAAUGCUCUCUAUGUCAUAUUGUCGUGUAUUGUUGAGAGAGAGUUCAGUCACAUGACCUGUGGUGGAAUUGCACAUGACACGCUCCCAUUUACAACAAUCACUCAUUGAAUUAUCAACCCAUGAAGAAAGAAGAUAGUCUACAUCUAACCCAUUUGACCCAACAAAUUCCUUGAAAUCUAAGAGUGCCAAUCUCUCUGUUUCAAAGCAACCUUUGUUUCCAUGGAUUUGAAUCCAUAGGAUUAUAAGAGCCAACAAUAAACACUUUGCUAAGUUAGCCAACUCCAUUUAGAAAUGCGAUCGGGGGGACCCAUGAAGAAAGAAG
rnacentral:misc_RNA from 1 species